CUGUUCCUACGGGACGCAGCAGUGGGGAAUAUUGCACAAUGGGGGAAACCCUGAUGCAGCAACGCCGCGUGAAGGAAGACGGUUUUCGGAUUGUAAACUUCUGUUCUUAGUGAAGAAAAAUGACGGUAGCUAAGGAGCAAGCCACGGCUAACUACGUGCCAGCAGCCGCGGUAAUACGUAGGUGGCAAGCGUUGUCCGGAAUUACUGGGUGUAAAGGGAGCGCAGGCGGGAAGCCAAGUCAGCUGUGAAAAAUACGGGCUUAACUUGUAGACUGCAGCUGAAACUGGUUUUCUUGAGU
rnacentral:rRNA from 1 species